rnacentral:rRNA from 1 species
GGUGGCAUUUUAUUUUAUUAGAGGAACCUGUCCCUUAAUCGAUAACCCACGAUAAUAUUCACUUUAAAUUAAAAGUUUAUAUACCGCCAUAAUAGAAUUUUCUUCAAAUUACAAUUCAAAAUAAUAUUAUAAAAAUAUAGGUCAAGGUGUAAUUUAAAUUUAAGAGAGGAUGUGUUACAUUAAAAUUAAUUUAAGGAUAAUUAAAUUUUAAUUUAAUUUUAAAAAGGAUUUAAUAUUAAAUAUAAAUAAAAAUUUAUAUUGAAACAAAUUAAAUACGUGUACACAUCGCCCGUCGCUCUU